rnacentral:snoRNA from 1 species
UCUACUGAUGAUAACUUUGUCCAGUUCUGCUACUGAAACAAUACGAUAUUUUUUUAAUCUGAAGA